AAAUCAUAAGCUGAAUUCCAGCGAAAAUUUUAAUUUCCUUAAGAAAUUAAAAUUUUCUUAUUUGAAAUUGGGGGUAAUGUAACCUUUACAUACUGCGCUUCAGAUCGAGGUGUUAGGAGAAUCGAUCUGAUAUCGUCUUGCCCGCCACUCGGCCUGACCCUGUGGAAAAAUUUAUCCUUGCCACACCCUGCCCUUUUCGAAACGGUCAUCACUAAUACUUGCCGAUCUACGAUCUGCUACGUGGACCAAUCACAACUGGACAACGCAUCGAUCCCCUUUUCCGAUCCGAGACAAAAGGGCUCGAGGCACGAUCGAUACGAAGGUCAAGAUCAAUUGUACUUCAACCGUGCGCGAGUACAAACCGUCGAGCAAGGCCACCGUCAGCCAAGCCUAGUGCGUUUAGAAAAGUGCGUAGUUAGAAAAUCUCGAUCGACCCAAAGUUGUAAAGAUCCUCCGAUCGACCACCAAGUGAUCAGGUGUCCCAAUAGGCGCCCACGGGCGUUGCAUGAGCCUGUUUGUUGGCCAUUUAACCAUCUACCAGCACACUUGAUCGUGUACAAUUGUACAAAACACGAGGCAGUAGUAGACUGCGGAAGAGAAAACCUUCAGGGAGAAGGUUUUUCUCUUUGGUUUCUUCUCAGCAAACCACGCGGCGAUCUUCGCCGGCCCGAACUCCGGACAGCAUCUACCGGAGCGCGCGAUCAUCCGUAGCGUCGGACAGCACCUGGUCGCUGACCACGUGGUGCACACGAGGACGUCGACAAGCCCGUAGGAAACCACAGCCACGGUUUCCGAGCUAAGGGCGCAGCCUGCAGGGGAAAUCCAGUUUCGACUGGUCGCCUGCCCGACAAAGUGAUUUACGGUCACUCCGCAGGGGUGCGUACUUCACGUCUGGUAGUGGUCUACCCGUAGGGGCGCGCCAAAACCCCGAGCAAAAGGGAACCACCGGCGGCUGUAAAAAUCUUGGGGAUCCACUGCUUGCGAGCAGCGAUCGCGAUCGUCACCGGACGGGUGCGAUCUAUUUGACGUCCUCUACCUUCGACGCCGACGCCGCGUCCGGCGCACUUGGGCAUCAUCCGCAAUCCGCACACACGCACGCACUCAAGCUCGACACACACGUGUACGCCAUCUUAUCGUGUGACAAGACUUCGCAGCGCCAUCAACAUCCUGCUGGAGCAAACCCGGUCGCACUGCAUUGCAACAUUUCACCUCGUGCCUCACCUCGUGCCAGCUACAACCACGUGGGGGACGAACGACUACCACGAUCAACCAUCAGCACGGGCCUUCGAGGAAACGCUCGGACAUUCCAGCCUCGUGGGUUUUCAACAUCAACACGCGGGACAAGCCGCGUGCGCCAUCUACAACCACGUGGCGGUCGACGACCACCUCUUCACCUGUGAAGGCCGUCGGGAAGCGUUCGGACGCUCCAGGCCACGUGUUUCAACUGCGGGACAAACCGGUCUCGUCGUCAACAUCUGGGCGGUGAUCGACAUCACCCGCUCGUCACCGAAGGCCGUCGACAAGCGCAGAGCCGCUCCGGCCACGUGAUCAUCUCUUCGUCCUGCACGUAGUCAUCUAACGACAAGACGCCGAACAGCAGACGGCGUACGCAGCUGUGGGGUUCACCCGCGUUCCUGCCAGCGGCUGCACGAGCAUCGAUCGGCCACGCAAACAUCAACCGCACGAGCGGCAGCGAGAAGAACGACAAGCGACAUAAAUCAGGUCAGAUCAGCUAGAUUAAGCUCCCCAAGUCGUCCCUGAUGCAUUUGGCCAGGGCAAUAAAAAUCAUGUUCAUUCCCCAAGUACAGUUUGUUUAUUCGUUGCAUUAUUGAGUGCAAUUUGGUUUUGACUUUUAAUUUCGAUUUUGCUGUAGAUUUUUGGGUAUCUUUGCCGUUGUACAUUUGCGAUUGUUCCACAACCCGCCCUGAGCAGAACUAGUCGGGCUCGUAACAGACCUUCCGCAGUGUGGCGAUCGGGGCCACACUGGCGCAAAAGCGGGAGUGUUUCAAGAAGGGUAGUGUGUUGGCAUUGGGUAUUUCUUCCUGCAGAACCUGGCCGAGAAAGGUUGGCAUUUCUGUAUCGU